UACAGCUAUAUCACGUUGAAAAAUCCAAUUUUCGUACGAUCACUGAAGUUAAGCAACACCGAGCCUGAUCAGUACAUAGAUGGGUGACUGCUUGGGAAUACCAGGUGCUGUAAU